rnacentral:lncRNA from 1 species
UUUUGUUUCUUCAUAUUUUCUUUCAAUAAAAUUCCCUUUUCUAUUUUUAUAUUUAUUUCUUUUUCCACCAUUAUCAUGAGCCACUAAAACCUAUCUAACCGAAAGUUGUCAAUAUUCCCCAAAAAGGGUUCUUGAGACCUAGAAUUCGUACUUAUCUUUCUCGCCAAGUAUUCAUCGUUUCUCUGCACUACGGGUUGACACUUCCGUCCAUGGCCUUUAAGAAGUAAGCUUUUCAGCAUAUGCAAAGGCGGCCGCUUUGUAUGUUUUGAAAGGAUUGCAUAGUCGAUUCGUUAACUUACUGCGUCAGAGGUUGGCGACCCAAAGAGAUGAAAUGGCGUGGGAUUCUCCAUUGAGAAGAGUUGAUCUAGCAUAAAUUACUGGCUAGAGUCAGGUUACCUAAAAAUCGUAAGUCUAAUCUUUGGAGCUGGUGGUCGUAAGCAUCCUCUUCCACUAUAAUUGACUUACUUAAGUUGAGAAGGAUCAUCUAAAAGUCGAAGAU